UAUGUAGUUACCUGUAUCAUCUGCACCCUGGUGGCAGAAAUAAAAAUUAAAUUUUUAAAUUAUGUCAUUUCGCGCGGUGUCGUAUUGAAAGAUUGGUAGAAGCAAUUGCAGAGAGUUCGUCAUAAGUGUGGAAAAUUUAAUACACAUUGCCAUCUCAUUGCUUCAAAAUGGUGAGCAUCUUAGUUUGAAUUAUUCUAUAUUUGCAGUUAUUAACAUAUUGCAGACGAAGAAAUCCAUGACCAUUCUCGUUUUAUUUUAAUGCCUGAGGCUGAUUACGAAAAUUCUCGUAUUUUCAUCGUUGUCAUUUAGGAAGAAACAAUUUAACUAUACCCUAAGUAUAGCUAGUAAUAAAACGAUUAAUUAACACAAUUUAUACUGAUUUAUUGUAUUUCGAUGUAGAGUUCUAUUUAGAUGGAUAUCGAAAUUUCAAUCAUUUGAAUAGCACCCGGGUACUGAGAGAAUUAGAUACGUUCUUGCAUCAACGCACUCUGGUGGUAAAUUUUGAAAUUAAAAUUUGAAAUUGCACCAUUUCGCGCGGUGUCAUAUUGAGAAGAGGAAGCAACUGUCGAGAGCUCGUUAUAAAUGUGGAAAAUUUAAUAUACAAAAGCAAGUCAUUGCUUCAAAAUAGUGAGAAUCUUUAUUUCAUACAUUUUACAUUUAUAAUCUAAUACAAUUUAUAGUGAUUUGUCGUUUUUUAAUGUGAAUAGAUGUUUACUGUUUUUCAAUCAAAGUUACUUCGAGAAGUACAACCAUUAUUGGAGUGAAAUUUUUUUCCUUUUCACUGCCCUCGAUUUUUUCUUUCCUUCUUUUCCCUUGAUAGUCGGUUUUACUUUCUUUUCUUUUUCUUUUAUACAUCAUUAACAAAAGAAAUAUAGUUUGAUAAUAAUCGUUCGAUUUUACGGUAAUAAUAAUUAUGCGAUAUUUUAUCUUAAUUUUGCCGUAAAGUUUUAUAUUUCAUUAUCUUAAAUUGUUCGAAUAAUCAGUAUUUCUUUCAAAACAAAUUAUAAUAAUUCACAUUUUGUUAAAGGUAUUUGACUAUUUCCUCUUUUUCUUGCUCCUUGAAAAGGACCUAGUGGUGCUUGAAAAGUUAAGAAUGUUUCUUCCAAUCUCCAUUUCUUUCAUUGAAUUCAAGGAUUCCGACUUGAUGACAAUUUCUCUUAAGAUGACUUAAUGAGAAUUUCUCUUGGACAACAGUAUCGAUGACAACGCUGCAAUGUAAUGACAACAUAUGUAAUCGUAAGUCGCAUGCAUUUUUGUUCCUCUCGUCUAUUAAACAUGUUGUAGGAUGGAAGGUCCGAAUCGACACGGGUGAAUGGUUAUAUUACGUAGAAUUUUUGACGAGCAUAAUAACCACGGAUAUUUAUUAUAUCUGUGAAUAGUAACAUUUUUUUGUCUGUGUUUUAUUUGUUAGUUCAGGAUAGGUUUCCUUGUACAUCGCGUUUUUAAAUGUUGGUGGUAAUGCAUUAUAUAUGAGUACAAUGUUUACAUAUUACAAUAUGAAGAAUUUGUAUGAAUAAUAAAAUGUUAAAAUUAUUUAUAAAAUUAAAUUACAUAUAUUCAAUAUUUCUACUUAUAUAGAUUAAAUAAUCCUCACGAGUAUGUACAACAAUAUUGAAAUAAACAACGAAAUGAGUCUUUUAAAUAUUUUAUAGUGAGAAAGUUUGAUGCCAUUUGACUGCCUUAUUAUGAAAAUUUCAAUUAUGGUUCAAAUUAUUAUUGUAAUGCUAGUGAUGAUUAUAUUUAAUUUUAUGUUCUAUUUUACGAUGAAACAACUUUAUUAUUUGAGUUCCAUAUUCAGCAUAAUUUCAGUAAAAUUUCAAACAUGAAACAUGGAGGUAUUAAACUCUAAUUUUGUUCGUCCGUUAAAAUAUACCAAAUUUUAUGUCCAAGAAGACACUUCGUAACAGGCAGAUUGUAGAAUCGAAACGAGUUUUGAAUGACUCUUUGUGUUUCAAAGAUGGAUUUUGACGAAGGAAUCUGCCGAGAAUAUUUUUAUUAAUAUUUCAUUUACAGUUAUUGAUAUAAAUAUUAUUUGCAAAUAGAUAAAGUAAAAUAAAAUGUAAAGUAGAGUUAUUAAAAUUUGAAUGAAAUGAUUUAUUAAUUAUAUAAUUAUAUAAUGUUUCAUUAAUUAUCCCGUUAGAUGCAAAAUGUAAUAGAUGUAAAUACGAUUGCUAAUCAUAGAUUUAGCCUUCGAUUUUCAUAUUCAACCCCUUCCAUGUUUAAUUCCAGGUACUCAUACUCACGUGCCUAGGUUCUAGUCGGGUGGGAGAAAAGCAAUGGGCAUGAUGACUAGUUUAACUUCUUCAAAAAUAAAAUUGAUCUUUUCACUUUGUUGGAUUUGCUAGAUUGCUACUUCCGCUAACACUGGGGUACCAUUCUUGCAACCAGGUGAUCCUCAACAUCAUUUCUCAUAAAAUUGGCAAAUUUCAAAAUGUUCGGAAGUGGCAAAUGCGAGAGAUAAAGAAAAAAAUAGUUGCGUUGUCUUAUCCUAUGGACUGUCAGCAAUGUGUCGAAUGUAAAAGAUCGGAAGUUCGUUUUGCCUCAUUCACCUGAUGAAGUCUUCGACAUGGAUGCUCUGUGAUAAAAUCGAGUUCUCGAACAUCGAGGGUGGUUCGGUACUGGAGUCGGGAUAUAAAAGCGAAGGUGCAGUUUCUAGAUCCGAAAGAGUGGGUCAAGUGAUAUCGACCAUGCAGAAGCAGUAGAGAUAUAGGAAGAUUCGGUUUCGCGAUUCAUUCUGGGAGUAUCUUUGUUUAGCCUGAACAGCCAACUGCUAUAUUUGCUCUUUGUCGUACUAUAGCGUGUCGUCUACUAGUCGAGACAGACCAACUAUAUUUGUCUAUGCUUUCUGUUGACCUAUAGCAAACGUGGCAGCGACGCAAUUCGUUGCUCAACCAUUAAUAGCUUUUCCCGUAUUCAGCCUUUUUCAUCUUUGACGUCAGCAUUGGCCAUGUCUUACCGGAUGAACUUGCACGAAGAAUGCAUUUUAUUUAAGACGACGAAUGGUUCGUCUUGAGUACACGAGUCAUGCGAAAGUCGUAUACGAAUCAGAACACAAAUAUAGAAUGUGAGAAAUGAUUUAUGUCCGUUAAUUACCUAGAUACCGUUUCAAUUUAUAAACGGAUUCUGGCUUUACCAUACAAUUAGCGAUUGAUUCGUUCAUUUACGUUUCUUAAUUACUUGUCCAUGUCUGUGAUAAAUUAAUCAGGCGAAUGGAAAAUUUCUGUGAAAAUUUCGUGAGUGAAAUUUUUUAAACGAAUAUUUGAUCCCCAUAUAGUAUAUCAAAGUUUUGUGAAAGAUUUCUAGUAAUGAUAAUAAUUGAGUUUUAAUAAUAAUUUUUGAAACAUUUAACGGUUUUAAGAUAAUCAGUUUUUAAAUAAAAAAUGUUUUUACAUUCUAAUAAAAUUAUUUAUUCAAUGAAGAGCACGUAAAUAGUCUUCCUAAAAGAAUGUUAUAGAAGGUAUUGGGAAUUAUAAAAUGUAUAAAUGUAACUUCUAAGGAAAUAGUAUAAAAUUACUCUAUUUAAGACCAAGUAUAUUAGACAAUAACCCGAUGGAGUUUGUUAUAUUACUCUGUUUGUAGCCUUUCAAGAAGGUGUUUAUAAGUCUCACAAUACAAAAG